rnacentral:rRNA from 1 species
GGGAGGGUCAUUGGAAACUGGGAGACUUGAGUGCAGAAGAGGAGAGUGGAAUUCCAUGUGUAGCGGUGAAAUGCGUAGAUAUAUGGAGGAACACCAGUGGCGAAGGCGGCUCUCUGGUCUGUAACUGACGCUGAGGCUCGAAAGCGUGGGGAGCAAACAGGAUUAGAUACCCUGGUAGUCCACGCCGUAAACGAUGAGUGCUAAGUGUUGGAGGGUUUCCGCCCUUCAGUGCUGCAGCUAACGCAUUAAGCACUCCGCCUGGGGAGUACGACCGCAAGGUUGAAACUCAAAGGAAUUGACGGGGGCCCGCACAAGCGGUGGAGCAUGUGGUUUAAUUGGAAGCAACGCGAAGAACCUUACCAGGUCUUGACAUCCUUUGACCACUCUAGAGAUAGAGCUUCCCCUUCGGGGGCAAAGUGACAGGUGGUGCAUGGUUGUCGUCAGCUCGUGUCGUGAGAUGUUGGGUUAAGUCCCGCAACGAGCGCAACCCUUAUUGUUAGUUGCCAUCAUUCAGUUGGGCACUCUAGCAAGACUGCCGGUGACAAACCGGAGGAAGGUGGGGAUGACGUCAAAUCAUCAUGCCCCUUAUGACCUGGGCUACACACGUGCUACAAUGGGAAGUACAACGAGUUGCGAAGUCGCGAGGCUAAGCUAAUCUCUUAAAGCUUUUUUCAGUUCGGAUUCCAGGCUGCAAUUCGCCUGCAUGAAGCCGGAAUCGUUAGUAAUCGCGGAUCAGCACGCCGCGGUGAAUACGUUCCCGGCCCUUGUACACACCGCCCGUCACACCACGAGAGUUU